AGAGGUGCAGGUACGCGGGAAAGUGACAUGUCAAGACGCGCGUCAGAUCGGUUGCUUGUAAAAUGUAGAAAAAGUACAGUGAAACCUCUCGUUCGUCGUAUUAUGUUACACACUAUUGCUAUAGUGAACGCGUUCGAGUUCGCCCGUUAUCGCGAUGCGUCGGAACGAUCGCGUAAACACAAUUUUCGGACCCCUCGUAGCGAACGCGUUCGUAAAAAAAAAAAGUCGUGCGAAGGACGAGUUCGUCGAACGAUGUUAAUCGCUCUCGGUGUUCGCGCGGAUCGUUUAACGUCGUCUAAUUUGCCGUCGCUGGAAUACUUGUUGGAGUGCGCAACAUCGUAAUUUAUCGACGUCGAAGUUUCGAUCUGCCUGUUGAUCGUGGGUGCCACCGGCGUUCUUGUCGAAUACGUAUCCGAUAUCGUUCAUAGCUGUCGUCACGCACAGGUUGUCACGGGAAAAGAGCCAGGAAAUUCAGGAAUACCCAAAGAAUGGACAAGAAGCGGGGGACAAUUUCAUUGGACAUUGGAAUUUAAUUGUAAGUAUGCAAGACGUACUGAAAGUGGAUGGUUCAAACUCUGGGUGUGGAUGGUACUCGUCUGAUCGAGGAAGAAAGGAUUACUAGACGAGAAUAAUAGGUAGCAAGAAAAGUCAACGUGUGUACAAAGAUUUAGCUGCGAUAUUUAAUCACUUGUUUACUGUAUCAUUCUAUAAUUGAGCCGUUCAUUGGACAAAUCCAUUAACUCCAUAAAACAAAAUGUUGAGAAAUGCGAUGAAAUAAUGUACAAUUGUUUUUUUUAAAUUCUUUUUGUAACACAAAUUCGAAUAAAUAUUGUAGAAUACAUGAGAUGUAGCUUUACAGAGAUGUAGAUGUACAUACAGAUGUAGCUUUCAUCAAACGGUAUAUAAAAUUAAUAAGAAACAAUAGCCAAAAAACAAGCGUUCAAAAUAGUAUUAAAAUUUUUGUGACUGGUGGAGUUAAUCGAUUUGUGCAAUGAACGUCACGAUUCAUCUUGUAAUUUUUGUAAACAUGAUAUUGCAAAGGUUCUGGGUACGAAGCCUGGACGACUCGACAGUAUUUAUAAACAUUGCCCAAGUUUUCACGUUUGAGAAGAAGCCAGAGUUUCCAUUCCAGAGACGAGUUUCAAUAGGUCCAGAAAAAAUCGAGACGCGAUUCGUCGAUCGUUCCGCGUCACCGUCGCGCCAUUAUUCCUUCGCGUCGCGAUCUCCACGCUACAAUGUCGAUUCCUCUCGUUUCCAUGGCUUUUCCCUUCCUUUUCGAGUUCACCUCGCGCCCUUAAGCAGCUAAGAGCCCAUGAUCUCGCCGACGGCGGCCGGAAGAGAAGAUCGGGAAAUGUAGAACGUCCACGAGCGGCUCGUAGAGCAAAAGGGACGGAAUGGAAGGGAGGGCGCGUAAAUCCCGAAAAACUUCUUACCGCAACAAUGGCUAGUACCGAUUUUAAAAAGAUCCUGCGAAGAUUUGCCAUCACUUUCACACCUCUCCAUGGCACCCCAGCCAGCCUAAGACCUACAACAAAUACCUGGUGGGCAUCGUAAUCUCGCUAAGGCCUCCCAUAGCGGGGGUCCCUGCGGGCUCCCAUUAUGAUUUUCGCGGCAUUGUCACGGUGUCGAAUCUGUCUACAAAUAACCACUAGAGAAAUGGUUACUCUGUCGAUACUCUUCAACGAUCCCGUCUCCCUUCUUCCUUAACCCACCGCGAUUCGUUUCUCUUUCCAACCACCGUCGACGCCCGUCUAUCUGCCUCGUAUUGCCUCCCCAGCUCUCGUUCCGAGGUCUCCGCCAUUCAGAGUGGACUACAUUAUUUUGCUGUAAGGCCCCGACCACACUGUAUUAUCCUAACAUCUAAAUCCCGACAGCUGGAUGUCUAUCAGAGACUCUCAACUCACGAAAGCAUCCGUCGCUAAUAGCGGCGACCUACGAUAGGCUCGCCUAUCCGUGGCGAGCCGAUAAAACCUACCGGAGGCUCGCAACCUCGAUGAUUCGAU